UUACAUUACCUGACGCCGGGUUCAGGGUGAUCAAGAGUGCUCUUACUCUGGGUGCAGGCCCACUAUUGCACCUUGGUGGGCUGAAACUCGCGACGGACCCUAAUAAAGUGCGUUUAGAGGUGCAGUUUUUGGCAGUGAGUAGGCCUAACGGUUCUCC
rnacentral:snRNA from 15 species